UACCAGCUCUCCGAGUGGUAGGGAUGAUUAUUGGGCUUAAAGCGUCCGUAGCCGGCUUAGCAAGUUUCCUGUUAAAUUCAGCGACCUAAUCGUUGAGCCGCGGGAAAUACUACUAGGCUAGGAGGCGGGAGAGGUCGACGGUACUUCUGGGGUAGGGGUGAAAUCCUAUAAUCCCGGGAGGACCACCAGUGGCGAAGGCUGUCGACUAGAACGCGCUCGACGGUGAGGGACGAAAGCUGGGGGAGCGAACCGGAUUAGAUACCCGGGUAGUCCCAGCUGUAAACGAUGCGGGCUAGGUGUUGGGGUGGCUACGUGCCACUUCAGUGCCGCAGGGAAGCCAUUAAGCCCGCCGCCUGGGGAGUACGGCCGCAAGGCUGAAACUUAAAGGAAUUGGUGGGGAGCACCACAAGGCGUGAAGCUUGCGGUUC
rnacentral:rRNA from 1 species